GCUUAACAAAGGAGUGCUGUUGAGAAAAUGGGGUCUAAACGUGGAGCAGAACUGCUUGAAAUUAAGAAAAAGAAGCGCUGAUUUCUGCCUUAUGUCCAGUGCUGCUAAGACAUGUUCUGUCACCCUAACCUCCAAAAGUGAAUCGAGGAAAGUUGAUCAUGAGUGGGUGGAUUUCUUAAACUAUGGUGCAGACCAGCUGAAGAUCAUUCCUACAAAUGACAUCACCAACACCCCACCCACUGAUAACGUCACUUCCGGCUUCAUUCCAGAACCCACCUACAGAAGACCUCAUUUCCUGUUCAGGCCAUUCUGAUCCUUCCCCUUCCUAUUUCAACCAUAUUUAAGAACCCAGACUUACACGGUUAGCUAGCUGUGUUUUGAACUCCACACUGUAAAACCGUAUUUGAUUCUGCUUUUGAUAUUUUUUCAGUAUAUGGGAUGGCCAUCCCCAAACCAUUUUGUGCCUUUUGCCUUGUUCAUUUUACAACAUACAUUUUCUUACUUCUUAAAAAAAG